GUGGUGAAGUACUUCUUCCAGUUCGGCUUCUUCCCCUGGACCACCUCCGCGUACAGAGGGAUUAACGCGGAGAGGCCGUUCGCGUUGCCCAACAUCAUCGGGGUGGAGAAGAAGAACGGAUACGUGCUGUUCGACCUCAUCCAGCUGCUGGCACUCUUCUUCCACAGGUCCAUUCUCAAGUGCCAUGGUCUGUGGGACAACAAAGAAGUGGAGAUGCCUGAUUUCUUUAAGAAGCUGAAGAGGAAAGUGGACAAGAAGAAGACCCAGGGCUCAGAGAAGAGCAGCAGUAAAGAUGGCGCGCGGUGUCUCAAGUUCCUGCCUCUAAACGCCUCUGCAACCUCCCUGUUCUGCCGCCGGAGGAAAGGAGACGCUGACUCCGAUGAGGUGAAGCCCAAGAAGCGGAGCAGUAAAAAGAGGCGAAACCAGCGGAACAAAACCCCUCUGACUCGAAAGCAGCGGAUGCGACAGGAGAUCCGCGAGAGGAUGCUCCAGGCCAAAGCCGCCAUCAUCGAAGUCGGGCUUCAUAUCUAUUUACCCAUACGGCAGUUCUUCUACGACAUCAUUCACCCGGACUACAGCCCGGUGUGUGACGUGUACGCGCUCAUGUUCC
rnacentral:lncRNA from 1 species